rnacentral:lncRNA from 1 species
CCCUCCAGAAAUUACUUAAUCAAGCUUGCAUUUAAAAUUUUCAAUCAAGCUUGAAUAACACUAUAGCUUUUUUUAUUAAUAGAUAAUGUGUUGAUUUAUUAUUGAAUGAUCCAAAAUACGUAUGGUAGAAUUGUUCUAACUAAUGAUUUUUCAAAAAACAAAGAUGAGAAAAAUGAAGUAAUAUAGAUGUGUUUGUGCGUGCCUUUUAUGGUUGAACUGGUCUAUCAGUUUGGUCCAACCAAUAAUUUUUCCUCAGCGUCUAAGGCUCUCUUUUCUUUUGCUCCCAUUUUGCGGAUGCUGCUUGAGAAGACAAGAUUUACCGUAGAGAAUUUUUUUUAUACACCACCUCGGAUGUAAAAAAAUAUACCACC